rnacentral:rRNA from 1 species
UACGGAGGGUGCAAGCGUUACUCGGAAUCACUGGGCGUAAAGGACGCGUAGGCGGGCUUGUAAGUCAGGUGUGAAAUCCUACAGCUUAACUGUAGAACUGCACUUGAAACUACUAGUCUAGAGUAUGGAAGGGGGAGAUGGAAUUAGUGGUGUAGGGGUAAAAUCCGUAGAUAUCACUAGGAAUACCUAAAGCGAAGGCGAUCUCCUGGAACAUUACUGACGCUAAGGCGUGAAAGCGUGGGGAGCAAACAGG